rnacentral:lncRNA from 1 species
GGAUAUUCAGUGAAUUCAUGUGUUUUCUUGCAUUUCUAUAUGAGGUUUUAUAUAUGUGAAUGAAAAGUGGUGAAAAGAGUUUCAAGGAGGAACUUCUCAUUGGUGAUUUCAAGUAUUGUUAGUAUGAAUGUAGGGAGCUCGGUCUUGGGGUUAUCCUGAAACUCUAAUGAUCAUCCAUUCUCAUUUAGAGAAGAUUGAUACAUGUGGUGAGAGUAACAAAAUGUCUUAGUUUAGUGCUU